UGGCAGUGUUGGGCUUGAGAUGCCCCUCAUCCUGUCCUGGGGUGCCCACCUCUGCCUCUGCCCCUCCCCCUGCCCCACAGCCGCAGAGACCUGGACAUUAACCGGCCUGGAACAGUGCCCAAUGCCAAGACGCUCCGGUGAGUGGCCCCUGGCCCUCUGGCCUGCCCCCGCCUUUGCCCCCAUGACCCAGCCAGACAGCCCUUUUCCUCUGUAUCUGCAGCUGCCCCGUGAUGCUGGUGGUUGGGGAUAAUGCACCUGCUGAGGACGGGGUGGUGGAGUGCAACUCCAAACUGGACCCGACCACUACGACCUUCCUGAAGGUGAGGCUUUCUUCCCCAGCCCUGGGCCAGCUUCCUUAGCAUGGGCCCAACCUCAGGGAGGGGUUUUCCUGGGGUCCCAGCCAGGUGGGAGCUUGUCCUGGAGUGAGGGCCCUGCUCAGGUCACCCCACUCUCUCCCUUGCAGAUGGCAGACUCUGGAGGGCUGCCCCAGGUCACACAGCCAGGGAAGCUGACUGAAGCCUUCAAAUACUUCCUGCAAGGCAUGGGCUACAGUGAGUACAUUUCCACCCCACCCCACACCACCUAGAG
rnacentral:sRNA from 1 species